rnacentral:rRNA from 1 species
AACGAACGCUGGCGGCAGGCUUAACACAUGCAAGUCGAACGCCCGUAGCAAUACGGGAGUGGCGGACGGGUGAGUAACGCGUGGGAACGUACCUGAGGUACGGAAUAACCGAGGGAAACUUCGGCUAAUACCGUAUGAGCCCCGCAAGGGGGAAAGAUUUAUCGCCUUGGGAGCGGCCCGCGUCGGAUUAGCUAGUUGGUGGGGUAACGGCCUACCAAGGCUUCGAUCCGUAGCUGGUCUGAGAGGACGAUCAGCCACACUGGGACUGAGACACGGCCCAGACUCCUACGGGAGGCAGCAGUGGGGAAUCUUGCGCAAUGGGGGCAACCCUGACGCAGCCAUGCCGCGUGAACGAUGAAGGCCUUAGGGUUGUAAAGUUCUUUUACCCGUGACGAUGAUGACGGUAACGGGGGAAUAAGCUCCGGCUAACUUCGUG